rnacentral:rRNA from 1 species
AAGGAAUAUUGGACAAUGCCCGCAAGGGUGAUCCAGCCAUGCCGCGUGCAGGAAGACGGACCUAUGGUUUGUAAACUGCUUUUGAACAAGAGAAAACCCCCUUACGUGUAAGGGGCUGAUAGUAUUGUUAGAAUAAGCAUCGGCUAACUUCGUGCCAGCAGCCGCGGUAAGACGAAGGAUGCAGGCGUUAUCCGGAUUCAUUGGGUUUAAAGGGAGCGUAGGCGGCUUGAUAAGUCAGUGGUGAAAUCUUCUCGCUUAACGAGAAAACUGCCAUUGAUACUGUCAAGCUUGAGUACAGUUGCCGUUGGCGGAAUAUGACAUGUAGUGGUGAAAUACAUAGAGAUGUCAUAGAACACCGAUUGCGAAGGCAGCUAACGAAACUGUAACUGACGCUGAGGCUCGAAAGUGCGGGGAUCAAAC